rnacentral:rRNA from 1 species
AUGCACACUCGUCGAACUACAUCACUUCUAUUGUUAGCGAGUAGCUCAUGGCUCCUCUGCUCUCUCUUCCUCGCUCCUGUGGACGCCGAUCAGCGGGCCUCGUACAUUGUCCACAUGGACAAGUCCGCCAUGCCGCCGCAGCUCUCCGGCCACCGUGAGUGGUACUCCACCGUGCUGGCGUCUCUAGCAGCGGCAGCCGACUCACCGGACGGCGCCCUUGGCGAGCAGCCACGGCUUGUCUACGCCUACGACGAGGCGCUCCACGGCUUCGCGGCCACCCUCUCGUCCUCGGAGCUCCGCGCCCUGAACCGCGCGCCGGGCUUCGUCUCGGCAUACCCGGACCGCCGCGCCGACGCCUCUCACGACACCACGCACUCCACGGAGUUCCUCCACCUCAGCCCGUUCGGUGGGCUGUGGCCGGCGGCCAAACUCGGCGAGGGUGUCAUCAUCGGCGUGAUCGACACCGGAGUGUGGCCGGAGAGCGCGAGCUUCGAUGAUGCCGGCAUGAGCCCCGUCCCGUCCCGGUGGCGCGGCGCUUGCGAGCCGGGCGUGGCGUUUGCCGCCUCUACGUGCAACCGGAAGCUCAUCGGAGCGCGUUACUUCAACAGGGGUUUUGUCGCCGCGAACCCUGGCGUGGUCAUCAGCAUGAACUCGACACGCGACAUCCUAGGCCACGGCACGCACACCUCAUCCACCGCAGCGGGCAGCCCCGUGCCGGGCGCGUCUUUCUUCGGGUACGGGCUUGGCACUGCCCGCGGAGUUGCCCCGCGUGCUCAUGUCGCCAUGUACAAGGUCAUCUGGAACACAAAGGGGCCCCAAUACGCGUCUGACGUGCUGGCUGCUAUGGACGCGGCAAUCGCGGACGGCGUCGACAUCAUCUCCAUCUCAAUGGGUUUCGACGGCGUGCCGCUGUACGAGGACCCCGUGGCCAUAGCUGCGUUCGCCGCCAUGGAGCGUGGUAUCCUCGUGUCGGCUUCAGCGGGAAAUGAAGGCCCACGCCCCGGCAGUUUGCACAACGGCAUCCCAUGGCUGCUCACCGUCGCGGCUGGCACGGUGGACCGGACAAUGUUCUCCGGCACCGUAACUUAUGGCAACACGACGCGAGGCACCAUAACUGGUUUCACGAACUACCCUGCGAACGCUUGGGUGGUGGACAUGAAGUUGGUCAUCUCAGCGUGCAACUCCUCAGCGUCGCUAGCGAACGUAACGACGAGCAUAGUCGUGUGUCACCACACGGGGAGUGUCCUCGAUCAGCUGGUCACCGCGGCCGAGGCCGGGGUCGCCGCGGCCAUCUUCAUCAGCUCGGAAGACGUGUCAUUUUUUUGGACGAUUUCCGAGGACACCAUGUCGUUCCCAGCCAUUUUCAUCAGCCCGGAAGACGCAUCGGCGCUACUGAGCUACAUCAACUCCACCAUAAUCCCGACGGCAACAAUGAAGUUCCAGCAGACGAUCCUCGGCACACGGCCAGCGCCUGUGGUUGCCGCGUACUCCUCUCGGGGGCCGUCGCCUAGCUACCCCGGCGUGCUCAAGCCGGACAUACUAGCUCCUGGGGACAACAUUCUCGCGUCGUGGGCACCCGUGGAUCCACAUGGAACGAUAGGGGAGACCACGCUGGGCAGCGACUUCCUCGUCGUGUCCGGGACGUCGAUGGCGUGCCCGCACGCCAGCGGCGUGGCGGCGUUGCUUCACGCGGCGCACCCGGACUGGAGCCCGGCCAUGAUCAAAUCGGCGAUGAUGACCACUGCGACCAGCAACGACAACACAUUCCGCCCAAUCAUGGACGCCGGCGCCAGCCGCAAGGGCAACUCCACCGCGGCGAGCCCGCUGGCCAUGGGCUCCGGGCACGUUAGCCCCAACUCGGCUAUGGACCCGGGGCUGGUGUACGACGCCGGGCCGAAGGACUUCGUGGCGUUCCUCUGCGCCGCAAACUACACCGGAGCCCAGAUCGCGGCGAUCACUAGGUCGUCGACGGCGUACAACUGCUCCUCCUCGUCGAACGACGCGAACUGCCCGUCGUUUGUGGCCAUCUUCGGCGCCAACGCUACCACCGGGGAGAUGCGCUUCGGCAGGACGGUGACCAGCGUCGGAGCGGGUCCGGCGACGUACCGCGCCUCAUGGGUUUCGCCGAGCAACGUUGCCGUGGCCGUGACGCCGGCAACGCUGGAAUUCGGCGGCGCAGGGCAGAAGGCCUCGUUCGAGGUAGACAUCAAGCUCACCGCGCCUACUCCCGGAGGCAAGGCCGCCUACGGGGCCGUGGUGUGGACCGACACCAGCCGCAAGUAUCAUGUGAGGACUCCCUAUGUCAUUCUUUGA